rnacentral:lncRNA from 12 species
GUCCCGAGAGAGGCUCCAGCGAUUUAGAAAAAAGAGGCCAGCACAGGUGUGAGUAGCCCCGCUCUAACAUGAGGCCUUUGCUGCUUACUUAACCAAGGAAACCCUGAACCUCUUGUCUAUGCAAGAUGGGAGAACAGCCAACAUCUCAGCAGGUCAGCGAUGCCCCCAUCUGUAUGUUCCAGGGGCUCAUUUCCAAUUCUUCCCCUGGGGUUCCAGAAAUAUCUCUAACAUUAGAAUAAUGUUGACUUCCUUCGGAGGGGAUCUGCCUGCACUUCUCGCUGCUAAUCUGGACCUACCUAACCCUAAAGCACAUUGGAGAGCAAUGAGGAAACCACAUGGGAAGGGACAGGCAAACACUGGCAAGUCACUGUCCCAGACCAUCCUGUGUAGAACCGAUGGGUAUUUGAAAAGUAUCCUCAAGACAUGUGAAGGGUCUGAGAAUUGUCAUCAUUGGGGCUGGAAAUACUCUGGUGAGGAUAUUCCCAACAUAGAUGUGGUUUUUUUUCUUUUGGAGUCACCAAAAAAGGAAGUCUAUUCUGCAAUCACAAGUAGAUUUACCCUUCAUUCACUCACUGAACGUUUCUUAGGUGUCUUCUGUAUACUGGGCAUCAUACUGAGGAUACAGAAUCAUGGCAAAGACUUAUAA